GCGGAAAUAGCUCAGUGGUAGAGCACCACCUUGCCAAGGUGGGGGUCGCGGGUCCGAAUCCCGUUUUCCGCUCAA
rnacentral:tRNA from 1 species